GACAGAGGGUGCAAACGUUGUUCGGAAUUACUGGGCGUAAAGCGUGUGUAGGCGGUGAGGUAAGUCGGAUGUGAAAGCCCAGGGCUCAACCCUGGAAGUGCACUCGAUACUGCUUCGCUUGAGUACUGGAGAGGUUGGUGGAAUUCUCGGUGUAGAGGUGAAAUUCGUAGAUAUCGAGAGGAACAUCUGUGGCGAAGGCGGCCAACUGGACAGAUACUGACGCUGAGACACGAAAGUGUGGGGAGCAAACAGG
rnacentral:rRNA from 2 species